GUACACAUAACUGUCGACUCGUUCAAUGACAGUAUGACCAAUUUUAAUGUCUCUGUCGUCGUCAAUGUUUGUCAUGAUUUUCGUAUUCGACAAAUUCAUCUUGAUGCCGACUUUGUUUGACUGCUCAUUCAGCUGUUGUAACAUAAUUUGCGCCUGAUCUAGAUCAGCUGGUACUCAGGUACUCUCCAUUUAUGUUGAUACCCAUUUCACUCCAGUCUAAUUUCUUAAAAAUACUCUCCAGAAUCGAUGUGAAUAACUUAGGUGAUAUGGGGCCAUUCACAAAUUAUGCACGCUCUUAAGGGGGGAGGGGGGGUCUGAAAUUUCGAAUUUGGUGCGUGCGUACUUUGUGAAUGGCCCCUAUGGUGUCAGCCUGUCGUGCACCUCUGCCAAUUCUGAAUUUUUCCGUGCUUUUAUGGAGUUUUAUACACGACGUAGCGUUUUUAUAGACGUAUCGAAUUGUGUUUGAGUAUCUUGAGUCUACUCUGCACUCGUCUAAUGAGUCCAAUAUCGACCAUGUUUCCAUUGAAUCAAAAGCUUUUUCAAAGUCUAUGAAUAGCAAGACCUCAGCAAUCUUGUAUUCAUUGCAUUUCUCAAUUAGCGUUCUCAUCACAUGUAAGUGGUCGUUUGUGCUGAAUCCUGAUCUAAAUGCAGCUUGUUCAACAGGUUGGUAGAAGUCGAGCUUCUUGGUGUCCCUCUUCGUAACUAUUUUCAUGAACAACUUGUAGAGUGUUGAUAAGAUACUUAUGGGUCGAUAGUUUUCCAACUUUGUUAUGUCUCCUUUUUUAUGCAGCAAUGACUUUUUGCGAUUCG